rnacentral:tRNA from 1 species
GUUUUUAUAGCUUAUAUAGAGCGUAGCACUGAAGAUGCUAAUGAAAUCCUAGGAUUUAAAAACA